GAUGAAGAACGUAGCGAAAUGCGAUACGUAAUGUGAAUUGCAGAAUUCAGUGAAUCAUCGAAUCUUUGAACGCACAUUGCGCCUGCCAGCACUCUGGCAGGCAUGCCUGUUCGAGCGUCAUUUCAACCAUCAAGCCCCAGGCUUGCGUUGGAGCCCUGCGGCUGCCGCAGGCCCCUAAAAGCAGUGGCGGGCUCGCUAUCACACCGAGUGCAGUAGAUUACUCUUCGCUCAGGGCGUGUGGCGGGUUCCAGCCGUGAAACCCCCUACUUCUCAAGGUUGACCUCGGAUCAGGUAGGAAUACCCGCUGAACUUAAGCAUAUCAAUAAGCGGAGGA
rnacentral:misc_RNA from 1 species